GGAAAGGCGCGCGAUACAGGGUGACAGCCCCGUACACAAAAAUGCACAUGCUGUGAGCUCGAUGAGUAGGGCGGGACACGUGGUAUCCUGUCUGAAUAUGGGGGGACCAUCCUCCAAGGCUAAAUACUCCUGACUGACCGAUAGUGAACCAGUACCGUGAGGGAAAGGCGAAAAGAACCCCGGCGAGGGGAGUGAAAAAGAACCUGAAACCGUGUACGUACAAGCAGUGGGAGCACGCUUAGGCGUGUGACUGCGUACCUUUUGUAUAAUGGGUCAGCGACUUAUAUUCUGUAGCAAGGUUAACCGAAUAGGGGAGCCGAAGGGAAACCGAGUCUUAACUGGGCGUUAAGUUGCAGGGUAUAGACCCGAAACCCGGUGAUCUAGCCAUGGGCAGGUUGAAGGUUGGGUAACACUAACUGGAGGACCGAACCGACUAAUGUUGAAAAAUUAGCGGAUGACUUGUGGCUGGGGGUGAAAGGCCAAUCAAACCGGGAGAUAGCUGGUUCUCCCCGAAAGCUAUUUAGGUAGCGCCUCGUGAAUUCAUCUCCGGGGGUAGAGCACUGUUUCGGCAAGGGGGUCAUCCCGACUUACCAACCCGAUGCAAACUGCGAAUACCGGAGAAUGUUAUCACGGGAGACACACGGCGGGUGCUAACGUCCGUCGUGAAGAGGGAAACAACCCAGACCGCCAGCUAAGGUCCCAAAGUCAUGGUUAAGUGGGAAACGAUGUGGGAAGGCCCAGACAGCCAGGAUGUUGGCUUAGAAGCAGCCAUCAUUUAAAGAAAGCGUAAUAGCUCACUGGUCGAGUCGGCCUGCGCGGAAGAUGUAACGGGGCUAAACCAUGCACCGAAGCUGCGGCAGCGACGCUGAUGCGUUGUUGGGUAGGGGAGCGUUCUGUAAGCCUGCGAAGGUGUGCUGUGAGGCAUGCUGGAGGUAUCAGAAGUGCGAAUGCUGACAUAAGUAACGAUAAAGCGGGUGAAAAGCCCGCUCGCCGGAAGACCAAGGGUUCCUGUCCAACGUUAAUCGGGGCAGGGUGAGUCGACCCCUAAGGCGAGGCCGAAAGGCGUAGUCGAUGGGAAACAGGUUAAUAUUCCUGUACUUGGUGUUACUGCGAAGGGGGGACGGAGAAGGCUAUGUUGGCCGGGCGACGGUUGUCCCGGUUUAAGCGUGUAGGCUGGUUUUCCAGGCAAAUCCGGAAAAUCAAGGCUGAGGCGUGAUGACGAGGCACUACGGUGCUGAAGCAACAAAUGCCCUGCUUCCAGGAAAAGCCUCUAAGCAUCAGGUAACAUCAAAUCGUACCCCAAACCGACACAGGUGGUCAGGUAGAGAAUACCAAGGCGCUUGAGAGAACUCGGGUGAAGGAACUAGGCAAAAUGGUGCCGUAACUUCGGGAGAAGGCACGCUGAUAUGUAGGUGAAGUCCCUCGCGGAUGGAGCUGAAAUCAGUCGAAGAUACCAGCUGGCUGCAACUGUUUAUUAAAAACACAGCACUGUGCAAACACGAAAGUGGACGUAUACGGUGUGACGCCUGCCCGGUGCCGGAAGGUUAAUUGAUGGGGUUAGCGCAAGCGAAGCUCUUGAUCGAAGCCCCGGUAAACGGCGGCCGUAACUAUAACGGUCCUAAGGUAGCGAAAUUCCUUGUCGGGUAAGUUCCGACCUGCACGAAUGGCGUAAUGAUGGCCAGGCUGUCUCCACCCGAGACUCAGUGAAAUUGAACUCGCUGUGAAGAUGCAGUGUACCCGCGGCAAGACGGAAAGACCCCGUGAACCUUUACUAUAGCUUGACACUGAACAUUGAGCCUUGAUGUGUAGGAUAGGUGGGAGGCUUUGAAGUGUGGACGCCAGUCUGCAUGGAGCCGACCUUGAAAUACCACCCUUUAAUGUUUGAUGUUCUAACGUUGACCCGUAAUCCGGGUUGCGGACAGUGUCUGGUGGGUAGUUUGACUGGGGCGGUCUCCUCCUAAAGAGUAACGGAGGAGCACGAAGGUUGGCUAAUCCUGGUCGGACAUCAGGAGGUUAGUGCAAUGGCAUAAGCCAGCUUGACUGCGAGCGUGACGGCGCGAGCAGGUGCGAAAGCAGGUCAUAGUGAUCCGGUGGUUCUGAAUGGAAGGGCCAUCGCUCAACGGAUAAAAGGUACUCCGGGGAUAACAGGCUGAUACCGCCCAAGAGUUCAUAUCGACGGCGGUGUUUGGCACCUCGAUGUCGGCUCAUCACAUCCUGGGGCUGAAGUAGGUCCCAAGGGUAUGGCUGUUCGCCAUUUAAAGUGGUACGCGAGCUGGGUUUAGAACGUCGUGAGACAGUUCGGUCCCUAUCUGCCGUGGGCGCUGGAGAACUGAGGGGGGCUGCUCCUAGUACGAGAGGACCGGAGUGGACGCAUCACUGGUGUUCGG
rnacentral:rRNA from 1 species